rnacentral:rRNA from 1 species
UACAGGGGGUGCAAACGUUGCUCGGAAUUACUGGGCGUAAAGCGCGUGUAGGCUGUUCGGAAAGUCGGAUGUGAAAGCCCUGGGCUUAACCCAGGAAGUGCAUUCGAAACUCCCGAACUCGAGUCCUGGAGAGGAAGGCGGAAUUCUCGGUGUAGAGGUGAAAUUCGUAGAUAUCGAGAGGAACAUCGGUGGCGAGGGCGGCCUUCUGGACAGUGACUGACGCUGAGACGCGAAAGCGUGGGGAGCAAACAGG